AACGAACGCUGGCGGCAGGCUUAACACAUGCAAGUCGAGCGAGACCUUCGGGUCUAGCGGCGGACGGGUGAGUAACGCGUGGGAACGUGCCCUUCUCUACGGAAUAGCCCCGGGAAACUGGGAGUAAUACCGUAUACGCCCUUUGGGGGAAAGAUUUAUCGGAGAAGGAUCGGCCCGCGUUGGAUUAGGUAGUUGGUGGGGUAAUGGCCCACCAAGCCGACGAUCCAUAGCUGGUUUGAGAGGAUGAUCAGCCACACUGGGACUGAGACACGGCCCAGACUCCUACGGGAGGCAGCAGUGGGGAAUCUUAGACAAUGGGGGCAACCCUGAUCUAGCCAUGCCGCGUGAGUGAUGAAGGCCUUAGGGUUGUAAAGCUCUUUCAGCUGGGAAGAUAAUGACGGUACCAGCAGAAGAGGCCCCGGCUAACUCCGUGCCAGCCGCCGCCGUAACAC
rnacentral:rRNA from 1 species